UGGGGAAUCUUCCGCAAUGGACGAAAGUCUGACGGAGCAACGCCGCGUGAGUGAUGACGGCCUUCGGGUUGUAAAGCUCUGUUAAUCGGGACGAAUGGUUCUUGUGCAAAUAGUGCGAGGAUUUGACGGUACCGGAAUAGAAAGCCACGGCUAACUACGUGCCAGCAGCCGCGGUAAUACGUAGGUGGCAAGCGUUGUCCGGAAUUAUUGGGCGUAAAGCGCGCGCAGGCGGAUUGGUCAGUCUGUCUUAAAAGUUCGGGGCUUAACCCCGUGAUGGGAUGGAAACUGCCAAUCUAGAGUAUCGGAGAGGAAAGUGGAAUUCCUAGUGUAGCGGUGAAAUGCGUAGAUAUUAGGAAGAACACCAGUGGCGAAGGCGACUUUCUGGACGAAAACUGACGCUGAGGAGCGAAAGCCAGGGGAGCGAACGGG
rnacentral:rRNA from 1 species